GCCAUCCAUGCUUCGUUCCCGCGCUUCCUCGUUCCUGAUCCUGAACCCCUGUGUAUCGACCUCCGCCUGUCCUCCGACCAACCCCAAAAAGCUCCAGGGAGCCACUAAUGCGGCGAUAAAGAGCCACAUGCAGCUCAGGAGCCUUGGGUUGCCAACCUCUGCCCUUUGAGGACAGCAACAGUCACCCCAUUUAACCAAAAGACCAUCCAAAGGAAAUAAAAAAAAGUGAUUCAUGGGGCUAUGGCCAGAACGGGCCGUAGACGGUGGGAGCAAAAGUUCCUCUUGUCGAGGAGGGGGCGCCACCCCAUCAAAACAGAAGUGAUGUGAAAGGGCCGCACUGGAAGUGACGUCACAUUCGGUGCUACACGAGAACAUGAGUUUGCUUUGUUUGUGAA